rnacentral:misc_RNA from 1 species
UCCAUCGCCUCUUGGUGAGUCGAUUUCCUUCUCAUCAUGUCUUGGAAAGAGGCGUUGUCUCAAAAUCGAAUAAACCUUUUUUAAAUGCUUACUUCGUAUUAUGAAGAUGAUCAAAGUUGGUUAACGUUUGAUUUCUUUUUAAAACAGGCUUGAAUUGUUAGAUUCUUUAGCGGCCGUGCCAUCACUUCUAAGAAGUGCAAGCGGUUGAGUCUAGCAUAGAAAGCCACCAAAAAUCAUGCGCAAGUCGUUUGAGUUCCAAACGCUUUUGCUUGUAUUUGGUGAUUCUAUCUGUUAAUAGUUUAGCUGGAUUUGUUGAAACAUUAUUAUUUUUAAAACUACAAUGAAAGUAAAUCUGCUAUACGAAACAUUGGUAUUAAACUCUGCAGAGGACAAGUAUAUAAUGGUGCUUAUAUAAUUUUUGGAAUUAAAAAUAGUCUUCAAACUCGAAUAAAAGCUCUUUCACCAAAUGCCAUCUAUGUUCAUUAUUGUGCUCAUGUUUUGAAUUUAGUGACCAUUGAAGAAAUGUCUGUAAACAGCUAGUAGUGAUGUUUUUAGGCGCAGCUGAAAAAUUGUAUACUAUU